UAAACCAGAGGAACUACGAA
rnacentral:siRNA from 1 species